rnacentral:rRNA from 1 species
GAUGAACGCUGGCGGUAUGCUUAACACAUGCAAGUCGAACGGACUCUUCGGAGUUAGUGGCGGACGGGUGAGUAACGCGUGAGAAUCUGGCUUUGGGUUCGGGACAACGACUGGAAACGGUGGCUAAUACCGGAUGUGCCGAGAGGUAAAAGAGAAAUUGCCUGAAGAUGAGCUCGCGUCUGAUUAGCUAGUUGGUGAGGUAAAGGCUCACCAAGGCAGCGAUCAGUAGCUGGUCUGAGAGGAUGACCAGCCACACUGGGACUGAGACACGGCCCAGACUCCUACGGGAGGCAGCAGUGGGGAAUUUUCCGCAAUGGGCGAAAGCCUGACGGAGCAAUACCGCGUGAGGGAAGAAGGCUCUUGGGUUGUAAACCUCUUUUCUUAGGGAAGAACAAAAUGACGGUACCUAAGGAAUCAGCAUCGGCUAACUCCGUG